UACGUAGGGUGCAAGCGUUGUCCGGAAUUAUUGGGGCGUAAAAGGGCUCGUAGGCGGUUUGUCGCGUCGGGAGUGAAAUCCACUGGCUUAACUGGUGGCUUGCUUUCGAUACGGGCAGACUGGAGGUAUGCAGGGGAGAACGGAAUUCCUGGUGUAGGCGGUGAAAUGCGCAGAUAUCAGGAGGACACCGGUGGCGAAGGCGGUUCUCUGGGCCACUACUGCGCUGAGAAGCGGAAAGCAUGGGGAGUCGAAGCGG
rnacentral:rRNA from 1 species